GCUCAGUUGGUUGAAAGUUCAACUCUUGAUUUUAGCUCAAGUUGUGAUCUUGGGGUUGUGAGAUCAAGCCCCGCAUUCAGCA
rnacentral:tRNA from 1 species